ACAGAGGGGGCAAGCGUUGUUCGGAAUUACUGGGCGUAAAGGGCGCGUAGGCGGCCUGCUAAGUCGAUCGUGAAAUCCCCGGGCUCAACCCGGGAACUGCGACCGAUACUGGUUGGCUUGAAUCCGGGAGAGGGAUGCGGAAUUCCAGGUGUAGCGGUGAAAUGCGUAGAUAUCGUCAGGAACGCCGAUGGUGAAGACAGGUGACUGGGCUAGUUCUGACACUGAGGCACGAAAGCGUGGGGAUCAAACGGGA
rnacentral:rRNA from 1 species